GGUUAUGGCUCAGUUGGUAGAGUGCUUCCCUCGCAUGACAAGGCCCUGGGUUCAAUCCCCAGCACCA
rnacentral:tRNA from 1 species